ACGCUGGCGGCAGGCUUAACACAUGCAAGUCGAACGGUAACAGGAAUUAGCUUGCUAAUUUGCUGACGAGUGGCGGACGGGUGAGUAAUGCUUGGGAAUCUGGCUUAUGGAGGGGGAUAACUACGGGAAACUGUAGCUAAUACCGCGUAAAAUCUUCGGAUUAAAGGGUGGGACUUUCAAGCCACCUGCCAUAAGAUGAGCCCAAGUGGGAUUAGGUAGUUGGUUAGGUAAAGGCUGACCAAGCCGACGAUCUCUAGCUGGUCUGAGAGGAUGACCAGCCACACUGGAACUGAGACACGGUCCAGACUCCUACGGGAGGCAGCAGUGGGGAAUAUUGCACAAUGGGGGGAACCCUGAUGCAGCCAUGCCGCGUGAAUGAAGAAGGCCUUCGGGUUGUAAAGUUCUUUCGGUGACGAGGAAGGUUGAUAGGUUAAUAGCCUAUCAAAUUGACGUUAAUCACAGAAGAAGCACCGGCUAACUCCGUGCCAGCAGCCGCGGUAAUACGGGGGGUGCGAGCGUUAAUCGGAAUAACUGGGCGUAAAGGGCACGCAGGCGGUGACUUAAGUGAGAUGUGAAAGCCCCGAGCUUAACUUGGGAAUUGCAUUUCAUACUGGGUCGCUAGAGUACUUUAGGGAGGGGUAGAAUUCCACGUGUAGCGGUGAAAUGCGUAGAGAUGUGGAGGAAUACCGAAGGCGAAGGCAGCCCCUUGGGAAUGUACUGACGCUCAUGUGCGAAAGCGUGGGGAGCAAACAGGAUUAGAUACCCUGGUAGUCCACGCUGUAAACGAUGUCGAUUUGGGGAUUGGGCUUUGAGCUUGGUGCCCGUAGCUAACGUGAUAAAUCGACCGCCUGGGGAGUACGGCCGCAAGGUUAAAACUCAAAUGAAUUGACGGGGGCCCGCACAAGCGGUGGAGCAUGU
rnacentral:rRNA from 1 species